AAUUUUGGACAAUGGGGGAAACCCUGAUCCAGCCAUCCCGCGUGUAUGAUGAAGGCCUUCGGGUUGUAAAGUACUUUCGGCAGAGAAGAAAAGGUAUCCCCUUAUAUGGGAUACUGCUGACGGUAUCUGUAGAAUAAGCACCGGACAACUACGUCCGAGCAGCCGCGGUAAUACGUAGGGUGCAAGCGUUAAUCGGAAUUACUGGGCGUAAAGCGUGUGUAGGCGGUUCGGAAAGAAAGAUGUGAAAUCCCAGGGCUCAACCUUGGAACUGCAUUUUUAACUGCCGAGCUAGAGUGGGUCAGAGGGGAGUAGAAUUCCACGUGUAGCAGUGAAAUGCGUAGAUAUGUGGAGGAAUACCGAUGGCGAAGACAGCCCCCUGGGAUAAUACUGACGCUCAGACACGAAAGCGUGGGGAGCAAACAGG
rnacentral:rRNA from 1 species